ACAGCCCAAAAUCCAUUGCAGAUCACAAUACACACAACUGAAUGGGAGGCAGCAGUUACUGGCUACUACACAGAGGAUUAUGGCUUGAUUCUGCCAGAUGCUGGGUGCCUCCUGGGAGAUGCUAAGUGGCCUGGAAAUAGAGGGUGCUCAGCACUUCACAGGCAGAUCACAGGCUAGAUCGAUCUGCCUAAAAUGAAACAGCGCUAGAACAAAGGUCAAGAACUUGGAAGAAUUCAUUCGGGGGAACCAGGUCCAUCCUGACAUUGAGUAUGUCCCCAAUCCUUCAAAGAGUACUACGUGAGUAGACUUCUGCACCCACAUGGACUCGCAGUGAAGUCACUAUGUCUCUGCCUGAAUCCAGGAGCACCCAUCCUAGCUGUUCUCUCUGAUCCUGCAAACACACCCAGGACUAGACACAUGUAACGUUAUUCAGAUGAAUGAGCACUAGCAGAAUGGGGCAGCCCUACUCCAGCAUGACUAUUACAUCUGGGGUAGUGAAGUUUUUAAUGGCUUUAGGGUAGCAUUACGAAUAGAUGGUUUAAAAUAUAUUAUUGUAAAAUAAAGAACAUUGGACUUUUCCCA
rnacentral:lncRNA from 1 species